rnacentral:tRNA from 6 species
CGCGGGAUGGAGCAGUCUGGUAGCUCGUCGGGCUCAUAACCCGAAGGUCGGGGGUUCAAAUCCCUCUCCCGCAACCA